CAACGCUCAUGGAGAUGACAUCAUCACAUUACCUGAGAACUCCGUCUACUUGGUCUUUGGUGUAGACUUUUCCUCCUUCAGCACUACUCGGUGUGCCGUCCUUUGUGCAGCCAACGCAACGAAAAGAUAAAGCGAAAAGCACAGAAACAAAAGGCUUCAACAAUGGAAGAAGAAUGAAGAAAACAGUAAAGUCAAACAGAGGCCCUGUUUAUUAAGUUUCCUCUUAUUUCUCUUAACCUGGAAAUAUUUGAGACCACGGUAAAAUAUCUCCCCAUCAGCAAGGCAAACAGCAGCAGUUAAAUAAAGACCUUUUGGAGAUAAAACCCUG